CCUACGGGGGGCUGCAGUGGGGAAUAUUGGACAAUGGGCGAAAGCCUGAUCCAGCAAUGCCGCGUGAGUGAUGAAGGCCUUAGGGUUGUAAAGCUCUUUUACCCGGGAUGAUAAUGACAGUACCGGGAGAAUAAGCUCCGGCUAACUCCGUGCCAGCAGCCGCGGUAAUACGGAGGGAGCUAGCGUUGUUCGGAAUUACUGGGCGUAAAGCGCACGUAGGCGGCUUUGUAAGUUAGAGGUGAAAGCCUGGAGCUCAACUCCAGAAUUGCCUUUAAGACUGCAUGGCUUGAGUGCAGGAGAGGUGAGUGGAAUUCCGAGUGUAGAGGUGAAAUUCGUAGAUAUUCGGAAGAACACCAGUGGCGAAGGCAGCUCACUGGACUGGUAUUGACGCUGAGGUGCGAAAGCGUGGGGAGCAAACAGGAUUAGAUACCCCAGUAGUC
rnacentral:rRNA from 1 species